rnacentral:rRNA from 1 species
AUUGAACGCUGGCGGCAUGCCUUACACAUGCAAGUCGAACGGCAGCACGGGAGCAAUCCUGGUGGCGAGUGGCGAACGGGUGAGUAAUAUAUCGGAACGUGCCCAGUCGUGGGGGAUAACGCAGCGAAAGCUGUGCUAAUACCGCAUACGAUCUACGGAUGAAAGCGGGGGAUCGCAAGACCUCGCGCGAUUGGAGCGGCCGAUAUCAGAUUAGCUAGUUGGUGAGGUAAAGGCUCACCAAGGCGACGAUCUGUAGCUGGUCUGAGAGGACGACCAGCCACACUGGAACUGAGACACGGUCCAGACUCCUACGGGAGGCAGCAGUGGGGAAUUUUGGACAAUGGGCGAAAGCCUGAUCCAGCAAUGCCGCGUGCAGGAUGAAGGCCUUCGGGUUGUAAACUGCUUUUGUACGGAACGAAACGGUGAGCUCUAAUACAGUUUGCUAAUGACGGUACCGUAAGAAUAAGCACCGGCUAACUACGUGCCAGCCGCCGCAGUAAAAC